AGUGAACGCUGGCGGUAGGCCUAACACAUGCAAGUCGAACGGCAGCACAGUAAGAGCUUGCUCUUACGGGUUGCGAGUGGCGGACGGGUGAGGAAUACAUCGGAAUCUACUUUUUCGUGGGGGAUAACGUAGGGAAACUUACGCUAAUACCGCAUACGACCUACGGGUGAAAGCAGUGGAUCUUCGGACCUUGCGCGAUUGAAUGAGCCGAUGUCGGAUUAGCUAGUUGGCGGGGUAAAGGCCCACCAAGGCGACGAUCCGUGGCUGGUCUGAGAGGAUGAUCAGCCACACUGGAACUGAGACACGGUCCAGACUCCUACGGGAGGCAGCAGUGGGGAAUAUUGGACAAUGGGCGCAAGCCUGAUCCAGCCAUACCGCGUGGGUGAAGAAGGCCUUCGGGGUGUAAAGCCCUUUUGUUGGGAAAGAAAAGCAGCAGGUUAAUACCCCGCUGUUCUGACGGUACCCAAAGAAUAAGCACCGGCUAACUUCGUG
rnacentral:rRNA from 1 species